CCUAUCUAAAACCUUGGGUGUAGCCACCAAGAACAUCCGUGUUGGCUCCUUCUCCUCUCUUUCUCUCCGCGUUUGCCUGCCUGACACAGCUGUCACCUCCCCGUUGCCCUUCAACCCAUGAUCACGGCGGCUAUUUGCCUCCCCCAGGUAACUUUCACUGGUGAUGCUGCAGUUUCACGGUGGCGGGUUUGUGAAAGGCAGCAAUGAAUCGGUAGGGAACGACGCGUUUUGCGGGAGAAUCACGAAACAGUGUGAUGAUAUUAUUGUCGUGGUUGUUGGGUAUAGAUUGGCACCAGAGACCAGGAAUCCGGGGGCUUUUGAAGAUGGGUUCAAGGUUUUGAAUUGGUUAGCAAAACAGUCUAAUUUGGCUGCUUGUGGAAUAGUAGAUGCUCAAAGCCACAUUUUCUAUAGCUUCGAUGCUUCCAUGGUCAAGCCUUGGUUGGCUGCUCAUGGAGAUCCUUCCAGGUUUCUUUUAGAUGAUUUAUUUACCCUAAAGCAAAAGCAGAGGAGGCAGGGGCGGGAGGCAGAGGAGGGCAGCGAGAAUUGUUUGCUGAUAAAGAAUUAAACAUGGACGUGAACAGGAAGGUAAGUGAAGAAGAUAUAGAAGGUGAAGAAGGCGAUCAAAAAAGCAAACAAGUUGACGUCGAGAUCAUCAUCAUCAUUCUCGUCCUUUUAUUCUAACCAGUCCAAUCCCUUUGGUGAUUCCAAUCUCGAUAAGAAAUUUGUGUGGCGCAAAAAGAUUGAGCGUGAUAUUGCGCAAGGGCGGACUUUCUUUUCUCUUAAAACCGAAAGAAGGAGACAGAGAGAGAGAAUGGAAGAGAUUGAAAAGGUUAAGAAAAGAAGAGAGCAAAGGGCACUUGAGAAACGACAGCACGAGGAAGAAAGGGAGUUGUUAGCUAGAGAACGUGCCCGUGCUGAGUUUCAGGAUUGGCAGAAGAAAGAGGAUUGUGCUAUUCCACAAUUGUUGCUAAUGAUGAUGAACGAAAAAAUCAGAUUCAAGAACCUGUGGAACCAGAACCGCCUACAUUAUUGGAGAAGUUCAAUCUGAAUAAAGCCAUGGGAGCUAUGAAGGAAGGUGAUGGAGUAAUUGGCUCUGUCGCUGAAGUGAACCUGGAUUCACAUGCAGGUAGAAUGGUGGUGUGACAAGUACCAACCGAGAAAGCCUAAGUAUGUCAAUACUUUUCACACUGGAUAUGAAUGGAACAAAUAUAACAGGACUCACUACGAUCAUGAAAAUCCACCUCCAAAGAUUGUGCGAGGAUACAAGUUUAAUAUCUUCUACCCAGACAUGAUAAACAGGACAGAGACUCCAACUUAUACAUGCGAGGAUGAUGGGAGCAAUGGGGAGACUUGCAUUAUAAGAUUUCAUGUAGGGCCACCUUAUGAGGACAUUGCAUUCCGAAUUGUGAAGAAAGAUUGGGAUGUGAGCCAUAAAAAAGGAUUCAAGAGCACGUUUGAUGGGGUAAUUUUGCGGCUUCAUUUCAACUUCAGACGUCACUCCUAUCGCAGGUGACAGGUAAACAACUUUGUGGUGGAAUUAUAAAAAAUAUUUUUAUCUGUUGAUUAAUGACGUUUUGAUCAUGAAGUGUCUUUUUCUAUGUUAUGCUUGAUCUUAUGCUAUUUCAAUCCUGCGAAUUGCAGUAAAUAAAUGACUAUAACAUUAUCUUUUAAUUAUCAGACCAAAUUACAGAAAGGAUUGUAAUGAUUGAUUCUGGCCAGAUUUAAAAGCUGCUAUACAUUUUCUUGUGUUUACUGUCACUGACUUUGGAAAGUUAUAACAACAUCCGUCCUUCAUUUUUUUGCCCCAAGUAUCAGUGUUCUGCUACGGAAACAAAGAAUUAUAGCAGAUUCACCAGUGACUAAUAGUAUAUAUCUACAGGUCUAUCACAUUUAUGCAGUUGUCUAUCACAUUAUCACAUUUAUGCAAUGAUUCAAUUAUGCAGUUCAAUUAUGGAUUCUAACAAGACACUAUUACCAUGAUGAUUUCUCUAAUCUUGUUGUAUUCACGUUCUUGCUUGGAAGUAGUUGAGUAAAGCAUCACAUGUUUCAUUCGACACAAGGGCGGGGGGGCUGGUGUUUUAUUGACGCAUCUAGUUGUACAUGUGGGGUUUUUUUUUUUUUUUUAUGAUAGGAUUAUAGAUGGAGAUGUAUUGAUACCUCCUAACUAGAGUGAGACUGCUGAAAGAUUUGAUGAAAAUCGAGAAGCUAAAAACUCCCGUACCUUAUUUUAUGACAAGUUCUUAUCCUACAGUUGAUGAAAUACGCGGGACACGACACGACAUGUCGUGUCAUUUGAUGAUUCUGAUAUUUUUCAGUGCUUAAAUGACAAAAUUAGACGUUUUGUGCUGAUAAGAGGAGAGAUGCUUGGAAGGAAUCCAGAUUCCUACUGUAGAAUCAAACUGUAUGCAAGUUGUCAUUUAUAGUAGCAUCAGUUUUGCUGGUAUUACCUUUUACAGAACUCAUUUUUAUCAAUGGUAGAGAGAUGAGUGGCACUCCCAAUGCAGAUCCAAUUGCUAACAAUGUCCCCUACCUUACUGCCAGUUCCACCAUCUAAAAGGAAUCUCUCUUCCAUCAAAAGACAAAACAGAGAGGAAAACGGAAUCUGAAAAGAGAAGAGAUAAGAUUGCUAUGACAACUCCAAUAAUAGAGCAAAACAAGUCUUGCUAGUGUAGAGAUCCAAUAAGGGACUAAAAUCUUUCUACCCAGAACAUUGAAAAAAAUGAAGAAUCAUCAAAGUAAAUGUAGCUAGUUAAUUCGAGAUUUUAUUGGAUUAUAAUUGAUAUGUGAUGAUCUCUUGUUACAAAGCAGAUGAUUCUAGCUCUCUUCAAAUUGUAAUUACAGAGCUGAUUCUAAAAAUGGAGGAAAGACAAUAAAACUCUAUGAUACCAAUCUCUUCUUGGUCAGAUGGCAGAAAAUUUACGAGUUCAAUCAAACCCAACAUCCAUCUUUAAGAAAGGAGAGGGGAGGAGAAAAAAAAGCAAGAAGAAACAACCAAGAAGGUACACUUGAUCCCUUACUCGAUCUCUUUGCAUGUUCCUUCAAGAAUCACCAUGUUUGUGCCAACAAACAAGCAUGGCAACACAGCGCCUCAUGAUAUAAAACCUUGCCUUCUGUUCCUUGGCUAAGCUACUACAUUUAUGUGAAAUAGAAGAGUUUUUUUGAGAGAAACUCCUUGGAAGAGGGCACUUUGGAGAAGAGCUCUUAAGGGACGAGGUCCUCAAGAGAGGAGCCUUGGAAGAUGAACUCUUAGUCGAGAAACUUCUUGUGAAAGAAGAUGAACCUUCUUUCUUUGAUAACUUCCACUUCUCAUCCAUCUACGAACCUUAGAAGCUACAAGUGACUAGCUAGUAACAGCAACUGAUAUGGUUCUUCUCUGUAUGUACUAUAUACGUGUGAUAGUGCGAAAGAGUUGGUGUGUGUGUGUGUGUGAGAGAGAGAGAGAGAGAGAGAUAAGAUCAAGGAUGGGACUCGCUCAGUGAGUGGGCUUUUUAUUAUAUAUUGUAAUGGCGAUUCGGAUUUCAAGAUGCGAACCAGUAUUUCAUUUGGUGCUGAAA